rnacentral:misc_RNA from 1 species
CCGUUCUUCAAGCCUCGUUUGGCUUGGGUGUUGGAUCGUCGUCCCCUUAAUGACCCCUUAAUAAAUCCCGGGUGGGGUGGGGACGGGUCCAAAAGGCAAUGGCGGUGCCGUUUUCGGUUCUGAAGCAUAAUGGGGCGUUGUCACCAGCUUCGGCGGACUGAAAUCGGUUGCUGAUCUUCCCUUGGCGUGUUAGCCUAUAUCUCCAAUAA